rnacentral:rRNA from 1 species
AUACGAUGAAGAGUUUGAUCCUGGCUCAGGAUGAACGCUAGCGGCAGGCUUAACACAUGCAAGUCGAGGGGUAGGGUUCUUCGGAACUUGAGACCGGCGCACGGGUGCGUAACGCGUAUGCAAUCUGCCUUUCACAGAGGGAUAGCCCAGAGAAAUUUGGAUUAAUACCUCAUAGUAUAGCA